rnacentral:rRNA from 1 species
CAGUCGAGAAUCUUCGGCAAUGGACGAAAGUCUGACCGAGCGACGCCGCGUGCGGGAUGAAGGCCCUUGGGUUGUAAACCGCUGUCGUAGAGGAGCAAAGGUAGUGGGGUUCUCCCCAUUAUUUGAGUGAUUCUAGGAGGAAGGAGAGGCUAAGCUCGUGCCAGCAGCCGCGGUAAGACGAGCUCUCCAAACGUUAUUCGGUAUCACUGGGCUUAAAGAGUUCGUAGGCGGCUUUGUAGGUGAGGUGUGAAAGCCCACGGCCUAACCGUGGAAUUGCGCUUCAAACCGCAGGGCUGGAGGGAUGCAGGGGUAUGCGGAACAGAUGGUGGAGCGGUGAAAUGCGUUGAUAUCAUCUGGAACACCGGUGGCGAAAGCGGCAUACUGGGCAUUUUCUGACGCUGAGGAACGAAAGCUAGGGUAGCGAACGGGAUUAGA